CUUGUCUCAAAGAUUAAGCCAUGCAUGUCUAAGUAUAAGCAAUCUAUACUGUGAAACUGCGAAUGGCUCAUUAAAUCAGUUAUCGUUUAUUUGAUAGUACCUUACUACUUGGAUAACCGUGGUAAUUCUAGAGCUAAUACAUGCUAAAAACCUCGACUUCGGAAGGGGUGUAUUUAUUAGAUAAAAAACCAAUGCCCUUCGGGGCUCCUUGGUGAUUCAUAAUAACUUAACGAAUCGCAUGGCCUUGCGCCGGCGAUGGUUCAUUCAAAUUUCUGCCCUAUCAACUUUCGAUGGUAGGAUAGUGGCCUACCAUGGUUUCAACGGGUAACGGGGAAUUAGGGUUCUAUUCCGGAGAGGGAGCCUGAGAAACGGCUACCACAUCCAAGGAAGGCAGCAGGCGCGCAAAUUACCCAAUCCCGACACGGGGAGGUAGUGACAAUAAAUACUGAUACAGGGCUCUUUUGGGUCUUGUAAUUGGAAUGAGUACAAUUUAAAUCCCUUAACGAGGAACAAUUGGAGGGCAAGUCUGGUGCCAGCAGCCGCGGUAAUUCCAGCUCCAAUAGCGUAUAUUAAAGUUGUUGCAGUUAAAAAGCUCGUAGUUGAACCUUGGGCCUGGCUGGCCGGUCCGCCUCACCGCGUGCACUGGUCCGGCCGGGCCUUUCCUUCUGGGGAGCCGCAUGCCCUUCACUGGGUGUGUCGGGGAACCAGGACUUUUACUUUGAAAAAAUUAGAGUGUUCAAAGCAGGCCUAUGCUCGAAUACAUUAGCAUGGAAUAAUAGAAUAG
rnacentral:rRNA from 1 species